rnacentral:rRNA from 1 species
UACAGAGGGGGCAAGCGUUGUUCGGAAUUACUGGGCGUAAAGGGCUCGUAGGCGGCCAACUAAGUCAGACGUGAAAUCCCUCGGCUUAACCGGGGAACUGCAUCUGAUACUGGAUGACUUGAGUUUGGGAGAGGGAUGCGGAAUUCCAGGUGUAGCGGUGAAAUGCGUAGAUAUCUGGAGGAACACCGGUGGCGAAGGCGGCAUCCUGGACCAACACUGACGCUGAGGAGCGAAAGCCAGGGGAGCAAACGGG